rnacentral:sRNA from 1 species
GUGCUUUCUACUGCGUUUCCACCGGAACAGCAAGUGGACUCUCCAGUGCCUAAUCUCUGGUCGUUAUUUGGAGUCCAAUGGCAAGGACGUGUUUUGCACUUCCCGGGUCCUCUCAGCUUACCACAUGUGGACCCCCCGACCAGCCCUCCAUGUCCACGUGAUCCUCUACAGCCCCAUCCACCACCGCUAUGCCCGGGCCGACCCCACUAUGGGCCGCAUCUGGGUGGACGCAGCAGUUCCCUGCCUGGAGGAGUGUGGCUUCCUGUUGCAUUUCCGAGAUGGAUGCUACCACUUGGAGACCUCUACACACCACUUCUUGUCCCAUGUAGACCGGCUGUUCUCCCAACCCUCAUCACAGACAGCUUUUCACAUGCAAGUGCGGCCUGGAGGGCUUGUGGCACUGUGUGAUGGAGAAGGAGGCAUGUUAUAUCCACAGGGCACGCAUCUGCUCUUGGGCCUGGGCUGCAACCCCAUGAGGGGUGAGGAGUGGUUCAUCCUACAGCACUGCCCAACCUGGCUCAGCCUCAGGUCAAAGACUCGGCGGUUCAUCUCAGUCAUCUACGAUGGUGAGGUGCGUGCUGCUUCUGAGCACUUAAACCCAAUGUCCUUGUUCCAGUUUGAAUGUGACAGUGAGAGCCCCACUGUGCAGUUUCGUUCAGCCAAUGGCUACUACCUAGCCCAGGUGAGACCUUGGCUUCCUGAGCAAGAGAAACCUUAAGCUCUGAGCUCUCCCUCCCUAGACUUCCUUCUCCUUUUUCAAGGCAAAUGAUGAGAGGAUGAUGUGGGCUGUGGAGGCACUUGUUGAUAAACAUUCAUUUUCACCCAAUGGGGGCUCCUUUAAAAAAAAAACAA